rnacentral:tRNA from 2 species
GCCCGGAUGGUGAAAUAGGUAGACACAAGGGACUUAAAAUCCCUCGCCUGCAAAGGCAUACCGGUUCGAUUCCGGUUCCGGGCACCA